GCACCCCUCAAGCACAGCUUGGUAUUGGGUCUCGCCCCUCGGGCGUGCCCGAAAAGCAGUGGCGGUCCGGAGCGACUUUAAGCGUAGUAAAUUUUCAUCCCGCUUUGAAAGAUCGUCUCGGGGCUGGCCAGAAAUCCAUAAAUUUUCAUA
rnacentral:misc_RNA from 1 species